rnacentral:rRNA from 1 species
UGGGGAAUAUUGGACAAUGGGCGCAAGCCUGAUCCAGCCAUGCCGCGUGAGUGAUGAAGGCCCUAGGGUUGUAAAGCUCUUUCACCGGUGAAGAUAAUGACGGUAACCGGAGAAGAAGCCCCGGCUAACUUCGUGCCAGCAGCCGCGGUAAUACGAAGGGGGCUAGCGUUGUUCGGAUUUACUGGGCGUAAAGCGCACGUAGGCGGACUUUUAAGUCAGGGGUGAAAUCCCGGGGCUCAACCCCGGAACUGCCUUUGAUACUGGAAGUCGUGAGUAUGGUAGAGGUGAGUAGAAGUCCGAGUGUAGAGGUGAAAUUCGUAGAUAUUCGGAGGAACACCAGUGGCGAAGGCGGCUCACUGGACCAUUACUGACGCUGAGGUGCGAAAGCGUGGGGAGCAAACAGG